rnacentral:rRNA from 1 species
CACGUAGGGGACGAGCGUUGUCCGGAUUCAUUGGGCGUAAAGCGCGCGUAGGCGGCUCGGAAAGUCGGUCGUGAAAUGCCGGGGCUCAACCCCGGGACUGCGUCCGAUACUCUCGAGCUGGAGGCAGGUAGGGGAGAUCGGAAUUCCUGGUGUAGCGGUGAAAUGCGCAGAUAUCAGGAGGAACACCGGUGGCGAAGGCGGAUCUCUGGGCCUGCACUGACGCUCAUGCACGAAAGCGUGGGGAGCAAACAGG